GCCAAUGUGGCAUAGUGGUUUGAGUGUUGGACUACAACUACAGAGACCAGGGUUCAAAUCCCAGCUUAGCCA
rnacentral:tRNA from 1 species